rfam:Salmo salar isolate Sally breed double haploid chromosome ssa04, whole genome shotgun sequence.
AGCACGCAUGACUGUAAGUCGCUUUGGAUGAAAGCAUCUGCUAAAUGGCUUAUA